UACCGUGAGGGAAAGUUGCAAAGAACUUUGAAGAGAGAGUUCAAGAGGGCGUGAAACUGCCUGGAAGGAAGCGGAUGGAGCUGACAAAACCGAGCAACAUUCAGCUGACAAUUUGCAAUAGCAUGUAAUGGCUGCAUCGAUGAGCAGGCCUUGCAUUGCUAUUGCGCGAUGUUGGUGCAUUUGUUGUAGGUAUGCGCCUGGACUGCUGCCUGGCUGUUUGGAUGUUGCAGACAGUGGCCCGGUGUGAGCUGGUGUCCUAUCUGCAGCCUGAUGAACAUUUCGGGUGGCAGUUGAAAUUGUCCCGCUCUAGCAUCUGUUGCCCAGGGUGGGUGCAGUUGGGUUUGGACCGAUCUGUUUGCAGAUGGGUUCCAGGUCUGGCUCUUCAAUCUCUGGGCGGGGAUGUGGACAAUUAUCAGGUGUAAAAGUCAGUCACCCAUCUGACCCGUCUUGAAACACGGACCAAGGAGUCUAACAUGUGCGCGAGUCAUUGGGCUGCAAACCCAAAGGCGAAAUGAAAGUGAACGCCAACCAGAUUGGCUGACAUGGGAUCCUAUUUUGAAGUAGGCGCAGCAUGGGCCUGCCUUGACUGUUUACAGUGGGGCAGAGGCAGAGCGUACACGUUGGUACCCGAAAGAUGGUGAACUAUGCCUGAGCAGGAUGAAGCCAGAGGAAACUCUGGUGGAGGUCCGAAGCGGUUCUGACGUGCAAAUCGAUCGUCAAACUUGGGUAUAGGGGCGAAAGACUAAUCGAACCAUCUAGUAGCUGGUUCC
rnacentral:rRNA from 1 species